rnacentral:rRNA from 1 species
GGUGGAAUUCUCAGAUUUGUUAAAGACUAACUUAUGCGAAAGCAUUUGCCAAGGAUGUUUUCAUCGAUCAAGAACGAAAGU